GGAAGGGCUGCUAUAAUUUUAUGCUUUUGGCUCAUCCCCCUGGGCCUCUUCAUAGUGUCCCAUGCCAGAGCAAACCCGGCCUGAACCAUUGCCUGGCCUCUACCAGUAGGCUGUAGGCACUGAAGCGGGUUGCACAGUG
ensembl:snoRNA